rfam:Stegodyphus mimosarum contig51143, whole genome shotgun sequence.
GCCUUCAUGGUGUAAUGGUCAGCCUACUCGGCGCGUAUUCGAGACGACCGAGGUUCAAGUCCCGGCGAAGGCA